CUACGGGAGGCUCCAGUGAGGAAUAUUGGUCAAUGGGCGCAAGCCUGAACCAGCCAUGCCGCGUGAAGGAUGACGGCCCUAUGGGUUGUAAACUUCUUUUAUACGGGAAGAAACGCCUCUACGUGUAGAGGUUUGACGGUACCGUACGAAUAAGCAUCGGCUAACUCCGUGCCAGCAGCCGCGGUAAUACGGAGGAUGCAAGCGUUAUCCGGAUUUAUUGGGUUUAAAGGGUACGUAGGCGGAAGAUUAAGUCAGUAGUGAAAUCCUGCAGCUUAACUGUAGAACUGUUAUUGAUACUGGUUUUCUUGAAUGUAGUUGAGGUAGGCGGAAUAAGUAAUGUAGCGGUGAAAUGCUUAGAUAUUACUUAGAACACCGAUUGCGAAGGCAGCUUACUAAGCUAUGAUUGACGCUGAGGUACGAAAGCGUGGGGAGCGAACAGGAUUAGAUACCCUCGUAGUC
rnacentral:rRNA from 1 species